AUUGAACGCUGGCGGUAGGCUUAACACAUGCAAGUCGUGCGAGAAAGUAUCUUGGAUAUGAGUAGAGCGGCGGACGGGUGAGUACGCGUAAGGUAUCUCCUAGUAGAAGGGGAUACCCCGGGGAAACCCGGAUUAAUUCCGUAUACCUCCUUCGGGAGAAAGAAGGCCUUUCUUUGAAGCUUUCGCUACUAGAUGAGCCUGCGUAAGAUUAGCUUGUUGGUGAGGUAAAGGCUCACCAAGGCUACGAUCUUUAGCUGGUCUGAGAGGACGAUCAGCCACAUUGGGACUGAGACACGGCCCAGACUCCUACGGGAGGCAGCAGUGGGGAAUAUUGGACAAUGGGCGCAAGCCUGAUCCAGCCAUACCGCGUGUGUGAAGAAGGCCUUCGGGUUGUAAAGCACUUUAAGCAGGGAGAAAAAGUUAUAAGUUAAUACCUUAUAACCGUGAUGUUACCUGCAGAAUAAGCACCGGCUAAUUCCGUGCCAGCAGCCGCGGUAAUACGGAAGGUGCAAGCGUUAAUCGGAAUUACUGGGCGUAAAGCGCGCGUAGGUGGUUUGUUAAGUUGGAUGUGAAAGCCCUGGGCUCAACCUAGGAACUGCAUCCAAAACUAACUCACUAGAGUACGAUAGAGGGAGGUAGAAUUCAUAGUGUAGCGGUGGAAUGCGUAGAUAUUAUGAAGAAUACCAGUGGCGAAGGCGGCCUCCUGGAUCUGUACUGACACUGAGGUGCGAAAGCGUGGGUAGCGAACAGGAUUAGAUACCCUGGUAGUCCACGCCGUAAACGAUGACAACUAGCUGUUGGGAGACUAUGUCUUUCAGUGGCGCAGCUAACGCUUUAAGUUGUCCGCCUGGGGAGUACGGCCGCAAGGCUA
rnacentral:rRNA from 1 species